GUAGCUGUGGUGGCUGUUGUGAGGAAGAGGAGGAGAAACACAGGUAGGAAAGGGCAGGGUCUGAGUUCUCUCUCAGUCCCUUUUAAAAGAGUCUCUGCCUCAUUAAUGGGAAACACAUCCACACCCCUCAUUGCUGCUGUCUCUAAGCUGGGUCUGCUGUCAGUUCUGGAAACUUCCUAGGGCCAGGGACUUCCCUGGUCUCUCACAGCUUUUCUUCUCACAGGUGGAAAAGAAGUCAACUAUGCUCCGGCUCCAGGUAAGAGUGGUGAGCAGGAUUGUCCCUGAGGCCUGUGGGGUUAAGCUGGCGUAUUUGGGGAGCUCUGGAAAUACAUAAUAGCUCCUGCAGUAAAUCUUCUAGUGGCCAAGUUUUUACCUUCCCAUGAAUACAUAUAUUUUUACCCCAGGCAGGGAGAGUUGCCAGAGCUCCGAUGUGUCUCUCCCAGACUGUAAAGCGUGAAGACAGCUGCCUGGUGUGGAUGGAGUGACAGACAAUGUGUUCAGGUCUCUCCUGUGACAUCCGGAGCCCCUCAGUUCACUCUCAACAAUAGUGUCUGAUGUUCCCUGUGAUCCCAUGGGCUCAAUGUGAAGAACUGGGGAGCCCAGCCCACCCUGCACACCAGGACCCUGUCCCUGCACUGCCCUGUUCCCUUCCACAGCCAACCUUCCUGUUCCUGCAGACAGGAGGGGACAUCUCCAUCCUGUCUUCCUCGUGUUGUCCUGAGCUGCAGCCCUGACUUCCCCACUGAGAAUAAGAACCUGAAUGUGAACUUGAUUGUUAAUGUCCUUGAUCUCAAAGGUUGAUUGGCGGUAAAAAUAAAGGAUUGAGUAGAGUUUAUGGAGGAAAUAAAUGGCAGCGUGGAGAACCUC